rnacentral:rRNA from 1 species
UACGUAGGUGGCAAGCGUUUGUUCGGAAUUAUUGGGCGUAAAGGGCGCGUAGGCGGUUUGUUAAGUCAGCUGUGAAAGCCCGGGGCUCAACCCCGGAGGGUCAGCUGAUACUGGCAGACUAGAGUACAGAAGAGGUAACUGGAAUUCCCGGUGUAGCGGUGAAAUGCGUAGAUAUCGGGAGGAACAUCAGUGGCGAAAGCGGCACCCUGGCAUUAGCCUGACGCUCAUGUGCGAAAGCGUGGGGAGCGAACGGGG